rnacentral:rRNA from 1 species
AGACCGCGAGGUGGAGCAAAACCCUAAAAAUAGGUCUCAGUUCGGAUUGCAGGCUGCAACCCGCCUGCAUGAAGUUGGAAUUGCUAGUAAUCGCGGAUCAGCAUGCCGCGGUGAAUACGUUCCCUGGCCUUGUACACACCGCCCGUCGCACCAUGGGAGCCGGUAAUACCCGAAGUCAGUAGCCUAACCGCAAGGGGGGCGCUGCCGAAGGUAGGAUUGGCGACUGGGGUGAAGUCGUAACAAGGUAUC